CACGUAGGCACCGAGCGUUGUCCGGAUUUAUUGGGCGUAAAGAGCUCGUAGGCGGUUGAGUAAGUCGGGUGUGAAAACUCUGGGCUUAACCCAGAGCCGCCACUCGAUACUGCUCUGACUUGAGUUCGGUAGGGGAGCAGGGAAUUCCUAGUGUAGCGGUGAAAUGCGCAGAUAUUAGGAGGAACACCGGUGGCGAAGGCGCUGCUCUGGGCCGAAACUGACGCUGAGGAGCGAAAGCGUGGGUAGCAAACAGG
rnacentral:rRNA from 1 species